rnacentral:rRNA from 1 species
GACGAACGCUGGCGGCGUGCUUACCACAUGCAAGUCGAACGGAAGGGCCCUGCUUUUGUGGGGUGCUCGAGUGGCGAACGGGUGAGUAACACGUGAGUAACCUGCCCUUGACUUUGGGAUAACUUCAGGAAACUGGGGCUAAUACCGGAUAGGAGCUCCUGCUGCAUGGUGGGGGUUGGAAAGUUUCGGCGGUUGGGGAUGGACUCGCGGCUUAUCAGCUUGUUGGUGGGGUAGUGGCUUACCAAGGCUUUGACGGGUAGCCGGCCUGAGAGGGUGACCGGCCACAUUGGGACUGAGAUACGGCCCAGACUCCUACGGGAGGCAGCAGUGGGGAAUAUUGCACAAUGGGCGGAAGCCUGAUGCAGCAACGCCGCGUGCGGGAUGACGGCCUUCGGGUUGUAAACCGCUUUCGCCUGUGACGAAGCGUGAGUGACGGUAAUGGGUAAAGAAGCACCGGCUAACUACGUG